rnacentral:lncRNA from 1 species
CACCUGACCAACAUGGAGAAACCCCGUGUCUGCUAAAAAUACAAAAUUAGCUGGGCGUGGUGGUGCAUGCCUGUAAUCCCAGCUACUUGGGAAAUGGAGGCAGGAGAAUCACUUGAACCCAGGAGGCAGAGGUUCCAGUAAGCCAAGAUUGCACCAUUGCACUCUAGUUUGGGCAACAAGAGUGAAACUCCAUCUCAAAAAAAUAAA